UACGUAGGGGCUAGCGUUAUCCGGAUUUACUGGGCGUAAAGGGCGUGUAGGCGGUUUUGCAAGUCAGAGGUGAAAUCUCCGGGCUUAACCCGGAAACUGCAUCUGAAACUGCAGAACUUGAGUACUGGAGAGGAUAGUGGAAUUCCUAGUGUAGCGGUAAAAUGCGUAGAUAUUAGGAGGAACACCAGUAGCGAAGGCGACUAUCUGGACAGUAACUGACGCUGAGGCGCGAAAGCGUGGGGAGCAAACAGGAUUAGAUACCCGUGUAGUCCCUGA
rnacentral:rRNA from 1 species